GGGAGCUUGCUCCCUGAUGUUAGCGGCGGACGGGUGAGUAACACGUGGGUAACCUGCCUGUAAGACUGGGAUAACUCCGGGAAACCGGGGCUAAUACCGGAUGGUUGUUUGAACCGCAUGGUUCAGACAUAAAAGGUGGCUUCGGCUACCACUUACAGAUGGACCCGCGGCGCAUUAGCUAGUUGGUGAGGUAACGGCUCACCAAGGCGACGAUGCGUAGCCGACCUGAGAGGGUGAUCGGCCACACUGGGACUGAGACACGGCCCAGACUCCUACGGGAGGCAGCAGUAGGGAAUCUUCCGCAAUGGACGAAAGUCUGACGGAGCAACGCCGCGUGAGUGAUGAAGGUUUUCGGAUCGUAAAGCUCUGUUGUUAGGGAAGAACAAGUGCCGUUCAAAUAGGGCGGCACCUUGACGGUACCUAACCAGAAAGCCACGGCUAACUACGUGCCAGCAGCCGCGGUAAUACGUAGGUGGCAAGCGUUGUCCGGAAUUAUUGGGCGUAAAGGGCUCGCAGGCGGUUUCUUAAGUCUGAUGUGAAAGCCCCCGGCUC
rnacentral:rRNA from 1 species